rnacentral:rRNA from 1 species
GAUAAUGGCUCAGAACGAACGCUGGCGGCAGGCUUAACACAUGCAAGUUGAACGUGAUUUGCUGGGUGCUUGCACCGAGCAAUGAAAGUAGCGCACUGGUGAGUAACACGUGGGAACGUACCUUUUGGUGGGGAACAACAGUUGGAAACGACUGCUAAUACCGCAUAAGCCCUGAGGGGGAAAGAUUUAUCGCCGAAAGAACGGCCCGCGGAAGAUUAGGUAGUUGGUGGGGUAACGGCCUACCAAGCCGACGAUCUAUAG